rnacentral:rRNA from 1 species
AUACGCACCGUCCUGAUACACCACUCUGCACGUACAACUAUCUGACGUAAAUUAAGCUUAAAAGACCUGGCGGUCAUUCUAAACCAACCUAGAGGGGCCUGUCUAGUAAUCGCCCACUCCGCGAAAAACCCAACCUCUUCUGGCCAACUCAGCCUGUAUACCGCCGUCGAAAGCUCAUUUCUCAAGAAAUCGAAGCUAAAUAGUAUAAUCACUAAUACGUCAGGUCAAGGUGUAGCACAUGAGGAGGAUAAGAUUGGCCACAGUACAGCACUUAAUAAAACAACGAUGAAACGCGUAACUAAAAAGAAUUUAGCAGUAAGGGAACUAACGAAUGACUCCCUGAACCAACACACUGCCCUAGAGUGCGCACACACCGCCCGUCACCCUCUGACGUCAA